rnacentral:rRNA from 1 species
GAUGAACGCUGGCGGCGUGCCUAAUACAUGCAAGUCGAGCGAACAGAUGAUGAGCUUGCUCCUCUGACGUUAGCGGCGGACGGGUGAGUAACACGUGUAUAACCUACCUAUCAUACUGGGAUAACUUCGGGACACCGGAGCUAAUACCGGAUAAUAUCUUGAACCGCAUGGUUCAAUAGUGAAAGACGGUUUUGCUGUCACUUAUAGCUGGAUCCGCGCCGCAUUAGCUAGUUGGUAAGGUAACGGCUUACCAAGGCAACGAUGCGUAGCCGACCUGAGAGAGUGAUCGGCCACACUGGAACUGAGCCACGGUCCAGACUCCUACGGGAGGCAGCAGUAGGGAAUCUUCCGCAAUGGGCGAAAGCCUGACGGAGCAACGCCGCGUGAGUGAUGAAGGUCUUCGGAUCGGAAAACUCUGUUAUUAGGUAAGAACAAAUGUGUAAGUAACUAUGCACGUCUUGACGGUACCUAAUCAGAAAGCCACGGCUAACUACGUG